rnacentral:rRNA from 1 species
CGCACCUACCGAUUGAAUGUUUCGGUGAAGAUUCGGACCGCGACGC